UACAGAGGGGGCAAGCGUUGUUCGGAAUUACUGGGCGUAAAGGGCGCGUAGGCGGCCUUCUAAGUCGAACGUGAAAUCCCCGGGCUCAACCCGGGAACUGCGUCCGAUACUGGAAGGCUUGAAUCCGGGAGAGGGAUGCGGAAUUCCAGGUGUAGCGGUGAAAUGCGUAGAGAUCGGGAAGAACGCCGGCGGCGAAAGCGACUCUCUGGUCGGAUCCUGACGCUGAGGUGCGAAAGCUAGGGGAGCAAACGGG
rnacentral:rRNA from 1 species